UUCUCAUUAAAUAUUUUUUUUCUAUUAACAAGGAGGAACCUGAAGAAGAAAGCAAGCUUAAAAGCUUUUCUUUACACAAAGAACAAUCUAUGGAAUCUUCCCAGCAUGCCUGUCAGCCUGAGGUAAAAAGGAAACAACAAACUAAAUGAGCAACAAAGCUUCCAAUAUUGCAUGAACUAUGCAAAAUGUAUUCUAUCUUGUCUAUUAAAAUAAUAUAAAAUGUGUUUCUCCUCCAGGUCCAUAUCAAACAUGCAUUUGGAGAACUGUUCCCGGACCCUACUGACUGUUUUGAUCUCGGAAAAGUUAUUGGAACUGGCGGAUUUGGAGUAGUUCAUAAGGCAUGGGAUGUUACUUCAAUGAAAAAAGUGGCUAUAAAAGUCAUUCAAGAGCUUACGGUAAUGUAUAUUGUUUUACAAUUCAACUCAAUAUAAUGAGAAUGUUACAAAAAGUGUUGUGUUAUACUUACAAAACAACUGUUUUUAAAAGGAAACCUUACAAACCAAGCUUAGCAGGUCAACCUCUUAUAUAAGGGAUGGCCAUGACGUAAUCUAAACUGGAAUUCCUAAUGACUCGGAAAUUGCCUUCUAAAAAAGCCCCAAACUCUAAACCAGACUGUAAAAUAGUCACAAGAGAUUUAAUAUAUUAUUAUUUUGCAUACCAUUUAUUAAAUCAAUGCCUUACUAACUAUAUCAACCCCAUGUAAUAUUUCAACCUUAUAAAAGGCAAUUGUUUGACUUAUAUUUACUACUCUGUAACAAUACAAUUGAGUAAUCACCUUCAUUUUAACAGAAGGGGAAUACAAUCACAGCCAGCAAAGCCACA